rnacentral:rRNA from 1 species
AGUCGAUCGGUACAGGUGUAGCAAUACAUGCUGACGAGAGGCGGACGGGUGAGGAAUAUUUGGGAAUCUGCCCAUCAGCGGGAGACAACCCGGGGAAACCCGGGCUAAUACCGCAUACGCUCUACGGAGGAAAGCCGGGGACCGCAAGGCCUGGCACUGAUGGAUGAGCCCAAAUCGGAUUAGCUAGUUGGCGGGGUAACGGCCCACCAAGGCGACGAUCCGUAGCUGGUCUGAGAGGACGAUCAGCCACACCGGAACUGAGACACGGUCCGGACUCCUACGGGAGGCAGCAGUGGGGAAUAUUGGACAAUGGGGGAAACCCUGAUCCAGCGACGCCGCGUGGGUGAAGAAGGCCUGCGGGUUGUAAAGCCCUUUCGGUAGGGACGAAGGCUCUUGCUCUAACAAAGCAGGAGGUUGACUUAACCUACAUAAGAAGCACCGGCUAACUCUGUGCCAGCAGCCGCGGUAAUACAGAGGGUGCGAGCGUUAAUCGGAAUUACUGGGCGUAAAGCGCACGUAGUCGGCUUGCCAAGUCGGGUGUGAAAUCCCCGGGCUCAACCUGGGAACUGCAUCCGAAACUGGCUUGCUAGAGUAUGGGAGAGGGAGGCGGAAUUUCUGGUGUAGCAGUGAAAUGCGUAGAUAUCAGAAGGAACAUCAGUGGCGAAAGCGGCCUCCUGGACCAAUACUGACGAUCAGUGCGAAAGCGUGGGGAGCAAACAGGAUUAGAUACCCUGGUAGUCCACGCCCUAAACGAUGACAACUGGGAUGUCGGGAGGGUUUGCCUUCCGGUGUCGUAGCUAACGCGUUAAGUUGUCCGCCUGGGAAGUACGGCCGC